CCUGCAGAGAGGAACUUUGCAAGACUCGAGCUGGUCACACAUGGAAGAGUGAAGCCUUAGUAGCUGCCACAUCCGCUUACAACGGAAGCACCCUCCAUUAACCCGAUUCCUACAGGCGGCGAAGUGCUUGAUCAAAAGCUGGAUACCUUGACACGUGGAGAACUUGCUGCACGGGCCUCUUUUCUUGGUGGGCUGCAUGUCAUACGGCCCGACGCUCAUGCACCCUUCGGUGCAUAUGUGCUCUAAGCAGUCCAUUGCUACACUCAGCUCCAUGAACAAGCUCUGCUCCUCCCUAUGCCGCCUUGUUCUCUUUUUCCUCGAUUCAGCUUCAUCGAUGAAUUGGAGAAUCUCGAGCUCCAGCCAUGGGUCAUGAUUUUGCAUGAACUUCCAGCCUUCAGUCUUUUCUACAGCCUUGAAAUGGCCAGAGACAAACUUCAUGCAUUUGAGGUAAAGAUCAGGCGCAUCGCAGAGCCUUGCCAAUUGAAGCACGUCCACCACAUUCUCAAUAGUCAAUAGUUCACCCACAGCCUUGGCGCAUCUCUGCUUCAGAUUGGGGACCAGGUAAACGUGGGAUAAUGCCAGUAGAUGGAUCCCAUACUUCUCCAGCUCCUCCUCACCGCACCUGAAGGAAUAUAUGAACCCAACGAACGCCGCAACGGCGUCGCAAGGAACGCCAAGGAUGGGAAUAAUUCUCUCGGAGCUGCUAUGUUUGCGUGGCCUCUCAAUGAUAUUCUCCAGUACUGAUGAUACGGAGGCCAGGACACUACUGUGAGCCGGAAUGCGUAUUCCGCCGGAGGUGAUAAUUUGAACGUCGGGUUUAGGUAAUUCACGAGAAUUUUGAUUGGCGAUUUGAUAAUGAGCGUACAGAUCGCCGGAGAAGUUGGUGGUGGCUGUGGUUGCGUUAUGAGCUGCCUCCAUAGGUGGAUGAGAAAACGGAGUCUGUGGAAUCUUUUUU
rnacentral:misc_RNA from 1 species